AUGAAACCAAACUGUUUACCAUCCAAAUUCGAUUGUCGGGCAGAUAGAAAACGAAAAUUCACCAAAGUGAACCUCGGCCUGCAUUUGUGAAACGGCAAAGACUCACUAUUGUCAAGGAGAUUGAAGAGACGACUAAAAAUGAGAUGUGUUAUAUUAUUAUACCUUUGCCAUCUUGUAGUCAAGAUGUCCAGUCACUUGAAAAUAGGUGUAGUAAUGAUAAAGCUAUCCAAGUAGCUCCAGCACAGGAACACAAAGGCAAGGCAAGUGUGUAUUGCCACAUCACCCCUUAAUAUAUCUGAAGCAAGUACAAGUAAACAAUCAGAACCAGCAAAAAGAAAACUGUUGUUCCUGAGGACAAAUUUGACAGUGAUGAGUCAAAUGCACCAGCAACAGAAGGAUCAACAGUUGACUAUGAGUUAUAGAAGAAGAUUAAUUAAUAUUUAUUUAAAUUAAUAUUAAUGAAUAUUAACUUAAAUUAUCGUGCAAAAUUUGUGGUCAAAACAUAUAUGUGUAUUUUAUAAAUAAAUAUUCAUUCUCAGUA